GGGGGUAUACCUCAUUUGGUAGAGCCCCUGCUUUCCAACCAGGAUUUCAGCGGUUGGAUUCCGCUUACUUCCA
rnacentral:tRNA from 1 species